AUGGCAGCCUCAAAAUACAAGCGCUCCAUGAAGACUAACGUCAACUCCAAGCUUGUUGUGGCGCUCAACAAUCUGAGGAAGGAGAAAACCUAUCUGAAGAAGACCCUGACUGAGCUGUGUCGACAACAUGCAGAACAUAACAAGCUAGUAGAGACAUGCCUCACUCUUGUAAGGGUAAUACUUGACAUUCAGGAGGAGCCUGGUAAAAAGGAAGUGAAGCCAUGUUAUGGAAUGAACAUGAGAAGGAAGACAGGAGGAGGUGCCCCAGCCUUGGAAGAGAACAAGCAGUGGCUGGAAUAUGACCAGCAGAGAGAGGCCUGUGUAAGGGGGAUGAUGAGCAGAAUGUUAUGGCUGGAGAACCAACUCAACAAAGCCAAUCAGGCCCGGUCACAGCAGCACAAUGAGGACUAUUCAGAUGAAGACGGAGCAAGCUGUCCACAGGCGAACUGUCGAAGACGCAUGCAGAUAAAUUAUGACACCAUAGACAAUCUCAUGGACGAGCUCAUCAAUAUCCGUGACCAUGUGAAAGCGAUCUAUGACAGGUUGUUCAGUCUUGAGGACAGUGGGGAGAAUGAGCACAAGGAGCUUCCACAGACCGAAAGAGAAGAUCAUCAUCAGUCAGAGGAUGAAGAGCAACAACUGAGUGAGGAUACUAAAGACCUCCAAAGCAGACUGGAUAAGGAGCGACGAAGGUCAUAUACCUUUGAGCUGCAGGAAGACGUGCAGGAUUCUGAUGAAUAUGAAGAGAGGCACUCCCCACCCCAGCAUUCCAGAGACCGCCUGAGAUCCUCCUCAAACAGCAGCAGCUGUCACAAUGAAAGCAUUCUGCACUGUCCCAACUGCCACGCCGUGUAUCCAUCCAACCUCUACCGAGAACUCAUGAACCACCUAGAAACAUGCAUGGACUGAGCUAAGUGUUUGUGUGUAUGUCUUUAUCGUUUAGAAUAUGGGUUUGUUGUUUUACCCAUAAGUUUAAAUGCAAGUUCUAAUAAAAUACUGAGUUACAGAGCUACUUGAGUAUUU
ensembl:lncRNA